rnacentral:piRNA from 1 species
UGACUAUGGAAAAACAAACAAACAAACCC